CAAUUUAAACAACGAAGAGUUUGAUCCUGGCUCAGGAUGAACGCUAGCGACAGGCUUAACACAUGCAAGUCGAGGGGCAGCACAGGUAGCAAUACCGGGUGGCGACCGGCGCACGGGUGAGUAACGCGUAUGCAACUUACCUAUCAGAGGGGGAUAACCCGGCGAAAGUCGGACUAAUACCGCAUGAAGCAGGGGCCCCGCAUGGGGAUAUUUGCUAAAGAUUCAUCGCUGAUAGAUAGGCAUGCGUUCCAUUAGGCAGUUGGCGGGGUAACG
rnacentral:rRNA from 1 species